GCUUAGGACAACUACAAGACUGGAGCGACACUGCCAUACUGUUUGGUUUUUUUGCAAGAAAAAAAAGAACACUCCUCUGAUAUUUUAAGAGGAUCUUCAAUAAGAAACCUUAACAGUGGGAAUCUAAAUUGAGCGUUUCAUGUUGUGAAGUGGUGGCUAAUGAUGUUUUCUAGUUUCCCGCUCUGAAAACGAAUCCGCUGCUGUCAUUUGUCGUCUAUAUUGACCAUUACAGCCGUUUGAAGUAUUUAAGUCUCUUAUCAUAUUGAGCCGAAGAUGAAGGACCGACUGGAACAACUAAAAUCGAAGUCGGAUCAGACUGCCGAUGAUGUGGAAAUUCCGAUGGAAAAUAAAGAAUUCAUGGAUGAGUUCUUUGCUCAGAUUGAAGAAAUCCGCACCAGUAUUGACAAGAUUGAUGAAAAUGUAGUGGAGAUCAAGCGACUGUAUUCUGUUAUUCUCUCUGCGCCAACAUCAGAGCAGAAGACACAGGAUGAAUUGGAAGCAGUUACCAAUGAGAUAAAGAAACUGGCCAACAAUGCUCGCAAUAAACUAAAAAGCAUUGAGCAGAAUUUGGCAGCUAACACCGAGGAGAGGGUUUCAGCUGAUAUGCGGAUAAAAAAAUCUCAGCAUGCCAUUCUUGCGAAGAAGUUUGUAGAGGUGAUGACCAAAUACAAUGAAGCCCAAGUGGAGUUUAGAGAGAAGAGCAAAGGACGCAUUCAAAGACAACUGGAGAUCACUGGAAAAGCCACUACUGAUGAGGAACUGGAGGAAAUGCUGGAUGGAGGGAACGCUGCGGUUUUCACAGCAGGAAUUAUGGAUUCUGGAAUAUCUAAACAGGCCCUAAGUGAGAUCGAGGCAAGACACAAAGAUAUCAUGCGCCUGGAGAGCAGCAUAAAAGAGCUUCAUGACAUGUUUGUGGACAUCGCGGUGCUGGUGGAGAAUCAGGGAAGCAUGAUUGACAGGAUUGAGAGCAACAUGGACCAGUCGGUGGGUUUUGUGGAAAGAGCUGUGGCUGACACUAAAAAAGCUGCCAAGUUCCAACAGGAAGCACGCAGGGGUUUUUUUUCUUCUUCUUAUUAUUAUUCAUUACCCUUUGAUUUCUUCUGUUUUUUUACUUCUCUUCUUGCACUGAUGUCUUGUUUCUUCUACGUGAUUUCAACUCUGCUUUCUACACAUUUCCCAAUCAUCCUUUCCCUUUGCUUCCCUUCACUGUCUUUAUAUCCUGAUCACUUACACCCCUGCAGAAAAAGAUGAUGAUCAUGUUGUGUUGCACAAUUCUUGCGGUCAUCGGAGGCUCUCUGGUCUACAGCUGGCUGACAUAGACUACAAGAGGAAGACUUUGUCUACUCUUACAAGUUCACAGUGUCUAUCAACAAAUCAAGAGGAGCAUCCUCGUGCCGAUGAACAAUAAGCAUUCCCAAACACACAACAUGUUUUCCAUUGCUUGUUUAUCUCAUUUUCCCAUCUCUAUAUUUGUCUUUUACGAUUUUCCUGUCUCAUCAUUUGGCCUUGCGUUAUUAGAAGCAUCACAGUAAAAUGUGGUGUGCAAGCUAUCUUUUAGGGUUGUGGUAUAAAUAUUUGCUUUUAUUUUUAGUUGGUUUUGGAUAUAGCCUGUAUGAGGAUAACAUUUUUGUUUUUCGAGGCCUCAUUUUUAUAACUGACAAGUGAAACAUCCUGAUGAAUACUGGUGCCCGCUUACAUUGUGUCUACAGUGUACAAAAUUUCUGAUAAUUAACAGUUUCUGUAAUUUGGGAUUCACAAGUGUUUUCUGUUUAUUUAUGGUUGUGAAUUGCAUUAUAGGAUGUUGAUCUCUGCUCUGUCCACUUUUGAUGUUGAAAAUUCAACUCUACUGUUUGACAAAGUGGCUUUCAUUGACAUUUUUGUAGUUUGAAAUAAUAUAAUCUAUAAGAAAUAAUGUAUAGAGAAAUAUAAGUC